rnacentral:rRNA from 1 species
AGAGUUUGAUCCUGGCUCAGAACGAACGCUGGCGGCGUGUCUUAAGCAUGCAAGUCGAGCGGCAAGGGUAGCAAUACCCCUAGAGCGGCGGACUGGUGAGUAACGCGUGGGUGAUCUACCUCGGGGUUGGGGAUAGCCAUUAGAAAUAGUGGGUAAUACCGAAUACGCUCCCUUGACUACGGUCAGGGGAGGAAAGGCGCUACGGCGCCGGCCUGAGAUGAGCCCGCGUCCCAUUAGCUAGUUGGUGAGGUAACGGCCCACCAAGGCUAUGAUGGGUAGGCGGCCUGAGAGGGUGUACGCCACAUUGGGACUGAGAUACGGCCCAAACUCCUACGGG